GAGGUUUAGCAAAUCUCUUAAAGCCGUUCUCAGUUCGGAUUGUAGGCUGCAACUCGCCUACAUGAAGUCGGAAUCGCUAGUAAUCGCGGAUCAGCAUGCCGCGGUGAAUACGUUCCCGGGCCUUGUACACACCGCCCGUCACACCAUGAGAGUUUGUAACACCCAAAGCCGGUGGGGUAACCUUUUGGAGCCAGCCGUCUAAGGUGGGACAGAUGAUUGGGGUGAAGUCGUAACAAGGUAUC
rnacentral:rRNA from 1 species